rnacentral:lncRNA from 1 species
AUCUUUGGAUCAGGUUGGUGGAUAGCAUGGCAGUGGGGACCCUCCAAACCAGGAAGGCAUCUGUCAUAGCUUUUGAAGCUGAUUUUGGAGAAUGCAAAAGUUUAGUCAUCCAACUCUUUCCUGAAGUGGACACCGGCCUUCUCAAGAUACCUGAUGUCGGUGACACCAGUUCUGAAUGCUUAGGUAUCAAGGGUGCUUUGGGUUUGCAGUGCACCAAAGGUCCA